rnacentral:rRNA from 1 species
CUGACGCUGAGGUACGAAAGCGUGGGUAGCAAACAGGAUUAGAUACCCUGGUAGUCCACGCCGUAAACGAUGAUAACUAGCCGUUGGGGGGAUUUACCCCUUAGUGGCGAAGCUAACGCGUUAAGUUAUCCGCCUGGGGAGUACGGCCGCAAGGUUAAAACUCAAAGGAAUUGACGGGGACCCGCACAAGCGGUGGAGCAUGUGGUUUAAUUCGAUGCAACGCGAAGAACCUUACCUGGUCUUGACAUCCUGAGAACUUUCUAGAAAUAGAUUGGUGCCUUCGGGAACUCAGUGACAGGUGCUGCAUGGCUGUCGUCAGCUCGUGCCGUGAGAUGUUGGGUUAAGUCCCGUAACGAGCGCAACCCCUAUCCUUAUUUGCCAGCACAUCAUGGUGGGAACUAUAAGGAGACUGCCGGUGAUAAACCGGAGGAAGGCGGGGACGACGUCAAGUCAUCAUGGCCCUUACGACCAGGGCUACACACGUGCUACAAUGGGAAGGACAAAGAGCCGCGAAGCCGCGAGGUGUAGCUAAUCUCAGAAACCUUUUCGUAGUCCGGAUCGGAGUCUGCAACUCGACUCCAUGAAGUCGGAAUCGCUAGUAAUCGUAGAUCAGCAUGCUACGGUGAAUACGUUCCCGGGCCUUGUACACACCGCCCGUCACACCAUGGGAGUUGGUUUUACCCGAAGACGGUAUCCUAACCUUUUUGGAGGGAGCCGGCCACGGUAGGGUCAGCGACUGGGGUGAAGUCGUAACAAGGUAGCCGUA